UACCAGCACCCCGAGUGGUCGGGACGAUUAUUGGGCCUAAAGCAUCCGUAGCUUGUCCUGCAAGUCCUCCGUUAAAUCCACCUGCUUAACAGAUGGGCUGCGGAAGAUACUAUAGAGCUAGGAGGCGGGAGAGGCAAGCGGUACUCGAUGGGUAGGGGUAAAAUCCGUUGAUCCAUUGAAGACCACCAGUGGCGAAGGCGGCUUGCCAGAACGCGCUCGACGGUGAGGGAUGAAAGCUGGGGGAGCAAACCGG
rnacentral:rRNA from 1 species